rnacentral:rRNA from 1 species
UACGAAGGGGGCUAGCAUUGCUCGGAAUCACUGGGCGUAAAGGGUGCGUAGGCGGGUCUUUAAGUCAGGGGUGAAAUCCUGGAGCUCAACUCCAGAACUGCCUUUGAUACUGAAGAUCUUGAGUUCGGGAGAGGUGAGUGGAACUGCGAGUGUAGAGGUGAAAUUCGUAGAUAUUCGCAAGAACACCAGUGGCGAAGGCGGCUCACUGGCCCGAUACUGACGCUCAGGCGCGACAGCGUGGGGAUCAAACAGG